CAGUAGCCACGGUAAUACGAAGGGUGCAAGCGUUACUCGGAUUUACUGGGCGUAAAGCGUGCGUAGGUGGUGGUUUAAGUCCGUUGUGAAAGCCCUGGGCUCAACCUGGGAAUUGCAGUGGAUACUGGGUCACUAGAGUGUGGUAGAGGAUAGUGGAAUUUCCGGUGUAGCAGUGAAAUGCGUAGAGAUCGGAAGGAACAUCUGUGGCGAAGGCGACUAUCUGGGCCAACACUGACACUGAGGCACGAAAGCGUGGGGAGCAAACAGGAUUAGAUACCCCAGUAGUCCCUGUCUCUUAUAC
rnacentral:rRNA from 1 species